GAUGAACGCUGGCGGCGUGCCUAAUGCAUGCAAGUCGAGCGAAUGGAUUAAGAGCUUGCUCUUAUGAAGUUAGCGGCGGACGGGUGAGUAACACGUGGGUAACCUGCCCAUAAGACUGGGAUAACUCCGGGAAACCGGGGCUAAUACCGGAUAACAUUUUGAACCGCAUGGUUCGAAAUUGAAAGGCGGCUUCGGGUGUCACUUAUGGAUGGACCCGCGUCGCAUUAGCUAGUUGGUGAGGUAACGGCUCACCAAGGCAACGAUGCGUAGCCGGCCUGAGAGGGUGAUCGGCCACACGGGGACUGAGACACGGCCCAGACUCCUACGGGAGGCAGCAGUAGGGAAUCUUCCGCAAUGGACGAAAGUCUGACGGAGCAACGCCGCGUGAGUGAUGAAGGCUUUCGGGUCGUAAAACUCUGUUGUUAGGGAAGAACAAGUGCUAGUUGAAUAAGCUGGCACCUUGACGGUACCUAACCAGAAAGCCACGGCUAACUACGUGCCAGCCGCCGCAGUAA
rnacentral:rRNA from 1 species